UACGGAGGGUGCAAGCGUUAUCCGGAAUCACUGGGUUUAAAGGGUGCGUAGGCGGUCAGAUAAGUCAGUUGUGAAAUACCCCGGCUUAACCGGUGGAACUGCGAUUGAUACUGUUUGACUUGAAUCAGGUUGAGGUAGGCGGAAUGUGGCAUGUAGCGGUGAAAUGCUUAGAUAUGCCAUAGAACACCGAUUGCGAAGGCAGCUUGCUGGGCCUGUAUUGACGCUGAGGCACGAAAGCGUGGGGAGCAAACAGG
rnacentral:rRNA from 1 species